UACGUAGGGUGCGAGCGUUAAUCGGAAUUACUGGGCGUAAAGCGUGCGCAGGCGGUUUUGUAAGCCAGAUGUGAAAUCCCCGGGCUUAACCUGGGAAUGGCAUUUGGGACUGCAAGGCUGGAGUUUGGCAGAGGAGACUGGAAUUCCCGGUGUAGCAGUGAAAUGCGUAGAGAUCGGGAGGAACACCCAUGGCGAAGGCAGCGCUCUGGUCGGCAUCUGACGCUGAGAGGCGAAAGCGUGGGGAGCGAACGGG
rnacentral:rRNA from 1 species